CAAACAAGUUACAGCAUUUAUUCAAUAAGGAAUAUUAAAAUAAUUCAUUAGUAAAAAAUAAAAUAACUUCAACCAUAUACAUAUUAUAAUUUAUCAUGUACAUACUCCAAAAUCCCCAUAAUUUAAUUAGGAAAUUUAUAGAACAUCUUUUUAAAGUAUGUCUUAGGAAAACCAACCAAAACAAUUGGUGCCUUAACUAAAGAGAAUGUGCAUACACAUUGCUAUUUGACCUAUAUGCAAAAGUGGAAUGAAAUACAUAGGAAAUUAAGGUUACUGCUUUCAAAAAUUUCUGGAAUAUUAGUACUUAAGUCAAAACACUUACCUGCAGAAUAAAAACAGCCUGAGUAUUUCCAAAGCUGAAGUAAUUUUCUGAAUGUUAAAUAUCACAAGAAUGAAAACAGUCUCCAUUAAGCACUUACAUGUGGUUUACAGUUGAGGCAGAAGAUGAAGGUCUGCCAAGCAGUUUUCCCAUAUCACCUGAAUUCUUUCUUCCCUUAUAAAGUAUAAGCUUCAAGGGAAAUGAUUACAUAUAAAAACAUUCCAAGUGAGUUGGGGUUCCUGACUGCAACAUUCAACCAAACGGAAAGAGGAAUUUUUUAAUUCUCCUAAGCAGGACCUACCCAACCACUGCAGACAUGAGCAUUAAUUCUUAUGCCAGACAAGGUAAGCGUGUCCUUUGAAAUCAAAGCUAAGCUUGACAAAUAACUGUACUGGAUAAACUGGAUACAUGAACCACCUCAACAAAGAUGGUACUUUAAGCAUUUAUACACAUGAAAAUGAUGAAGUGUAUUAUUUAGAUAUGGUCUUUCUUCAUCUUUCUCUGAAUCCUGAAAGGUUAGCAAGUCAUUAUACUCAUACAUCUUGUAAUCCCUUUCUCCACAAAAUACAUACACAUAUACAGCUUCAUAUGUCAAUAUAAUAUCAUCAACACAGCAUAAAGAUUUAAGCAGUAGACACAAGUCACAUGAAAGAGGCUCUAUGCAUCAUGUGGCCUGUCCGAAUAAAAAGCAAACAUUAGAAUGCCAUUUCAGCAGUUACAGUGUUGAUAUGAUCAAUAUAGCUAAUUUUUUUAUACCCGUCAUAUAUUUUUAGAAGUCAUCCGUAGGGAAGAAGCAAACAACAAAGACUGCUUUUUUUUAGAAAAGUUAUGUGCCAACUUCAAAAUGACAUACUAACCAGAUAUCAGCAUUCGAAAGCUAGGUUGAAUAGGACUGGCCUUGAUGCACAUGCAGAUGAUUUGCUUUCAUAAUAUAAAAUUAAAUGGUAAUGUCAGCUGUAUUACUACUGUUUCUAUAUUUAUGAUUAAUUACUAGCAGUACAACUCCCAGAAGGAAGGAGAUGGAUCCAACAGCGAUGUAAGCAAUCCCCAAAAAUGGAUUUUUUCCUCCCAUCCAUGAAAUAGUGCUCAAGAUCAUCCGUUUUCGUCCAUCAAAAUAAUGUACAGGGUAAUCUGAAGAGGGUUGUAUGUGACAUUCAAAGAGUAUCGGCCAGCUGGUAAUGUUGGAUGUAAAUCACUUUUCCUUUCUAUAAGACGAUACAACUUGCGAAAAGUAGGUAAUGCUGCAGUACGCAUCCAAACAAUAAAAUCCUCAUUUAUGAAUCCAUUAUUAUCUGGGUCAGAAUCCAGCAUGUAAACUGGUUUAAGCCAGUUCACAGGCUUUGUUGUACCUUAAAAG
rnacentral:lncRNA from 1 species